rnacentral:rRNA from 1 species
AGUAAUGUCUGGGAAACUGCCUGAUGAGGGGGAUAACUACUGGAAACGGUAGCUAAUACCGCAUAACGUCGCAAGACCAAAUGGGGGACCUUCGGGCCUCAUGCCAUCAGAUGUGCCCAGAUGGGAUUAGCUAGUAGGUGGGGUAACGGCUCACCUAGGCGACGAUCCCUAGCUGGUCUGAGAGGAUGACCAGCCACACUGGAACUGAGACACGGUCCAG